rnacentral:rRNA from 1 species
GACGGAGGGUGCAAGCGUUAUUCGGAAUCAUUGGGCGUAAAGAGUGUGUAGGCGGCCGGUUAAGUCAGGUGUGAAAGCCCAGGGCUCAACCCUGGAAGUGCACUUGAAACUGGUCGUCUUGAGUUCGGGAGAGGGUAGCGGAAUUCCUGGUGUAGAGGUGAAAUUCGUAGAUAUCAGGAGGAACACCGGUGGCGAAGGCGGCUACCUGGACCGAAACUGACGCUGAGACACGAAAGCGUGGGGAGUAAACAGG